rnacentral:rRNA from 1 species
CACGCGGUAAACGAUGAAUGCUAGGUGUUGGGGAGCAGAGCUCUUCGGUGCCGCCGCAAACGCAUUAAGCAUUCCACCUGGGGAGUACGUUCGCAAGAAUGAAACUCAAAGGAAUUGACG